UUGUGCCCCAAUAUAUGAUUAUCAUAAAAAUGCAUUUUUACAAAAAAAAUAUUUAUAACACAAGAAAUUAGUGAAGGAUGGUUCACACAAUGAUAUUUAAUGAGAAAAUCUAUGGUACAAAAAAAAAAGAUUCAUAGAAAGAAAAGAAGAUAAGGUGAUCUCAUAUGGGUAAAUGACCCAAUUUGUUAGUAGUAUUUCAUAAAAGAAGUGUGCUAAUAACUCAUGCCACAAUUUCAAUCAUGUUUUUAACCUACUUUGGAAGAUAUGAUUUGCCAUAAUCUAUAUUCACAUCAUUUCGGAAUAUGUUCAACUUCGACUUUGAUGUAUGUAUGUAAGGCCGCCUUUUUGGAUUUUCGACCUACCAAGUCUUCAUUGAUUUUUGCACCCUCAUUUUUGCUUAGGUCUCCCUUUCGGGUUUUCGACCUAAUGGGUCUUUAUUCAAUUUUGUAUACCCUAAUUUUUGCCUAGGUCAUCCUUUUGGAUUUUCAACCUAGCGGGUCUUCAUUUAGAUGUAACACUUUUGAAGCAUCAACGUGUGCAAGUAGUGAUAAGUCUUCUCGAUCCAUAUUGGCGUGGAUUAAAGCCACACUUGAAAGUUUUUUUUUAUAUUUAUUUAUUUAUUUUUUCUUUAUGGUAUUGGGGCUCAUAUAGUUGGGAGUCCACUUGUCAUGCUAGUCUUUUUAGAUAUAUGAAAUCUUCUUGGACGCUAAUUCUUUCUUUUGAAGCUCCAAAGUUUAUAUGUUCUUCUUUUAAGAUCUUUCAAAAUAAUUGUUCGUGAUAUAAGGUAGCCAACAUUUCUCUUUAAUUGAAUACAGUCGGUCAACACAGGUCAUUACUCUUGAUAAGGAAAUUUUUGUGUGAGUGGGUCGCACUUCCUUUAUUCUAUAUAACAAGAAACAAAGGGGUGCCCCAUGUAGUCUGAUACUCACGUAGGGUAUUCUACAAUUACGAGGUAAUGUUUGGUAUGAAAACUUUCCAUAUACUUUUCUUAUACAUUUGAUAGUAAACAGGAUAGUUGUGAUUUUUUUUCUUGUGAAUUACUAUUCUUCAUCAUGACUUACUUUGUAUAUUGAAGAUAAAUUAGCUACAACCAGCUAGUUGAUUAUAUUAUUGAGGGACAUGAUGGAAAAUGACUUCAAAUCAUUUUUAGACAUUUGUAUAAUAUGUAUAUAUAAAAUGAUCAUCUGAUUAUUCCAGUUUUUCCAUUCUUGAUUUAGUUGAUUAAGGAUUAUAUUCAAGUCCCAUAUGCUUUCAACACUUUCAUCAUUGAUUCGUAGGUGGCUUGAAUACCCAUGGUACAAACUUCAAAUUACCCCACGUGACAUUAAUUUCAUGUUUCAAUAUAUCGAGGUCCAUCCAGAUAGUGAGUUUUAUUUAUAUCGUCCUCACAUUCAGUGGAAUUUAUAGCAUGAUUGAAAUUAUGUAUGAGAUUUUAGCCAACUUAUUUAUGAAUUGACUACUUCCAAAUA